CAAUGGGCGCAAGCCUGAUGCAGCCAUGCCGCGUGUGUGAAGAAGGCCUUCGGGUUGUAAAGCACUUUCAGUAAGGAGGAAAGGUUAAGUGUUAAUAGCACUUAGCUGUGACGUUACUUACAGAAGAAGCACCGGCUAACUCCGUGCCAGCAGCCGCGGUAAUACGGAGGGUGCGAGCGUUAAUCGGAAUUACUGGGCGUAAAGCGUACGCAGGCGGUUUGUUAAGCGAGAUGUGAAAGCCCCGGGCUCAACCUGGGAACUGCAUUUCGAACUGGCAAACUAGAGUGUGAUAGAGGGUGGUAGAAUUUCAGGUGUAGCGGUGAAAUGCGUAGAGAUCUGAAGGAAUACCGAUGGCGAAGGCAGCCACCUGGGUCAACACUGACGCUCAUGUACGAAAGCGUGGGGAGCAAACAGGAUUAGAUACCCUGGUAGUCCACGCCGUAAACGAUGUCUACUAGAAGCUCGGGUCUUCGGACUUGUUUUUCAAAGCUAACGCAUUAAGUAGACCGCCUGGGGAGUACGGCCG
rnacentral:rRNA from 1 species